GGCUCUGUAGCUCAGGGGUUAGAGCGCCGCUCUCAUGAGGCGGAAGUCGAGGGUUCGAAUCCCUCCAGAGCCA
rnacentral:tRNA from 1 species